rnacentral:rRNA from 1 species
GACGAACGCUGGCGGCGUGCCUAAUACAUGCAAGUCGAACGCUUUUUCUUUCACCGGAGCUUGCUCCACCGAAAGAAAAAGAGUGGCGAACGGGUGAGUAACACGUGGGUAACCUGCCCAUCAGAAGGGGAUAACACUUGGAAACAGGUGCUAAUACCGUAUAACACUAUUUUCCGCAUGGAAGAAAGUUGAAAGGCGCUUUUGCGUCACUGAUUGAUGGACCCGCGGUGCAUUAGCUAGUUGGUGAGGUAACGGCUCACCAAGGCAACGAUGCAUAGCCGACCUGAGAGGGUGAUCGGCCACACUGGGACUGAGACACGGCCCAGACUCCUACGGGAGGUAGCAGUAGGGAAUCUUCGGCAAUGGACGAAAGUCUGACCGAGCAACGCCGCGUGAGUGAAGAAGGUUUUCGGAUCGUAAAACUCUGUUGUUAGAGAAGAACAAGGAUGAGAGCAAAACGUUCAUCCCUUGACGGUAUCUAACCAGAAAGCCACGGCUAACUACGUGCCAGCAGCCGCCGUAA